rnacentral:snRNA from 1 species
CCCCAUUAUGUGGAAAAAUAAUAAAACUGGAAUGAAAGAAAGAAAAUGAGCAUGGCCCCUGCGCAAGGAUCACAAAGAAUAUUUUGUGGCAUGAUGGCCAAAC